GACGAACGCUGGCGGCGUGCUUAACACAUGCAAGUCGAACGGUGAAGCGCCUUCCUUUUUGGUGGGUGUGGAUGAGUGGCGAACGGGGGAGUAACACGUGAGUAACCUGCCCCCUUCUUCUGGAUAACCGCAUGAAAGUGUGGCUAAUACGGGAUAUUCUGGGUCUGUCGCAUGAUGGGUCUGGGAAAGAUAUUGUUUCGGUGGGGGAUGGGCUCGCGGCCUAUCAGCUUGUUGGUGGGGUGAUGGCCUACCAAGGCGGUGACGGGUAGCCGGCCUGAGAGGGUGGACGGUCACACUGGGACUGAGACACGGCCCAGACUCCUACGGGAGGCAGCAGUGGGGAAUAUUGCACAAUGGGCGCAAGCCUGAUGCAGCGACGCCGCGUGAGGGAUGGAGGCCUUCGGGUUGUGAACCUCUUUCGCCAGUGAAGCAGGCCUGCCUCGUUUGUGGGUGGGUUGACGGUAGCUGGAUAAGAAGCGCCGGCUAACUACGUG
rnacentral:rRNA from 1 species